rnacentral:rRNA from 1 species
UACGUAGGGUGCGAGCGUUGUCCGGAAUUAUUGGGCGUAAAGAGCUCGUAGGCGGUGUGUCACGUCGGCCGUGAAAACCUGGGGCUUAACUCUGGGCGUGCGGUCGAUACGGGCAUCACUAGAGUUCGGCAGGGGAGACUGGAAUUCCUGGUGUAGCGGUGAAAUGCGCAGAUAUCAGGAGGAACACCGGUGGCGAAGGCGGGUCUCUGGGCCGAUACUGACGCUGAGGAGCGAAAGCAUGGGUAGCGAACCGG